CGUCUCAGUUCGGAUUGUAGUCUGCAACUCGACUACAUGAAGCUGGAAUCGCUAGUAAUCGCGAAUCAGAAUGUCGCGGUGAAUACGUUCCCGGGUCUUGUACACACCGCCCGUCACACCAUGGGAGUUGGGAAUGCCCGAAGCCGGUGACCUAACCGAAAGGGAGGAGCCGUCGAAGGCAGGCUUGAUAACUGGGGUGAAGUCGUAACAAGGUACC
rnacentral:rRNA from 1 species